AUGCUAUGUGGUUCGUCAGGACAGUGUAGUUAACAAAUUGUCAGCCAACAUAACGUGUAAGGUAACUUACUUGAAAAGUCAUUACUUUAUUGCAUUGAGUAGCAAGCUACCGCUGUGAUGGAUGAUGGAUUUCGGGCAAGAAGAUUGAGGGUUAGAAACCUGCUCCCUGCUUGUUUCAUUUGAAGUUGUGCACAAUUAUCAGUUUAUUAUUUGGUUUAUAUCGCCCAUUCAUUGUCAGUUAGAGACACAGUAGUGCAUUGGGACCCAAAAGCAUAAUCAGUGCUCUAACUCCCCCUUGGUCGUUAGGGAAAAUCUGUGAUAGGACGGGGGGGGUUUCACAUCAAGCUAGGAUAUUAGACUAUUCUUUAGUUAUGGUUGAAUAGUAUUUUGUUCAGCUAUUAGCCCCCCUCCCCAACUUGCAAAGAAUGGAUGUGUUUUUGUUGAGAGAAAAACUUUUUAAUUUUCAAUCAGAAUUUUUUUUUCUGAAAGCAACUUUAUUUUCAAUCAAAAAAAAGUUUUAAAUUUUUUUGCAAUAAAAUAUUGUGUAAUAGAGCGCAAAACUUCAUGCAUUUUAUUCCCCAAAAAUAUUUUGAGAACAAGAAUUGUAUUUGAAAACUAAACUCUCUCGUCCACAUUGAUACGAAUCAUAAAUUCAUAAGGUACUGAGAUGUUGUGGUAAACUGUGGGGUGUUGGGUUGAGCGUGCAGAGAUUGACACAGAGACAGGGAGGUUUUAGUCCGCAAAAACAACUUUACUAAGACAGAAAAUAAACAUAACAAAGAAAAUCACUGAGGUUUGGCUCGGUCCUUCUUCUCAACUGUGGCUUGGUGUCGGUCUCUCCCAGUUCUCUCUCACGGUGUGCCACAGUGCUCCUUUUAUUUGGCCUCCACGGCUGGUUGGCACUUUCCCCUAAUUACCUCCACCUAGAGCUGUCCAUGUCGGGGUGCCCAGCUCCCGUAUUCCCAGCAGAGGGAGCCAACGUCGCCUCACGUACCUCCCCUCUAUUACCAUUCCCCGGGGUAGACCUCCUGGGAUACCUCAAUGUAUAAUGUCUCCAUCAAAUCUAAGAAGUUAUUUAAACUUUUUUAUUCUUACUUAUUCAUAGACUUUUUUUAGAUGAUGUAUGAAAUUGGAGUUGUUCUUCAUCAACUGGUAAUACAUAAAUAAUGAAGCAGGUUAAUAGGUUAAACAUUUAACUUUUAAUUCCAAAACUUUUUUCAAGAUACAACAUUGUCAUCUUUGGCGGUAUAGAUGGAUUUUCAAGGAAGGUAUGUAUAUUAUUUUGUAUACAUAUUGCAUAUUUCCCAUCACCUAAUGAACAACCACAAUACCAGUCUGGUGUUAAGCUUUCUGUGCUGUAUUGACGUAUCCUGAAAAUGACAUCUGCUGCUUUAGAUUGAACGGUCAUGUCUCAGUUAUUGUUUUCAUAUCUACAAAAAAUAAGCAAUUUUCUUUAAUUUCAGAGUGCGAGCUGAUCAAGGGGUCGAAAAUGUAGAUAUUGCCAGAUGCUCACUGUCCGAGGAACAGGCCGUGGAAGAUUUAUUGCUGGCAAAAGUGUCCAUAACCAGAGCAUAAAGUACUCUGUAGCCACUUAGUGUGGACACCAGGUGAGACCACACACACACAAUAACAGUCUC
rnacentral:lncRNA from 1 species